CUUCAUCAUAAGUAUGAAGCAUUGGAUGCCUUUAAAACAUUUAAGGCUGAAGUUGAAAACCAAUGCAAGAAGAAAAUACAAAUAGUUAGAUAUGAUGAGGGAU